rnacentral:rRNA from 1 species
GAUGAACGCUGGCGGCGUGCUUAACACAUGCAAGUCGAGCGAGAAGUUUUGAAAAGAUUCUUCGGAUGAAAUUUAAAAUGGAAAGCGGCGGACGGGUGAGUAACGCGUAGGCAACCUGCCCCAUACAAAGGGAUAGCAUUUGGAAACGAAUAUUAAUACCUUAUGAAACUUAACUAGUGCAUGCUAGGUAGGUCAAAGAUUUAUCGGUAUGGGAUGGGCCUGCGUCUGAUUAGCUAGUUGGUGAGGUAACGGCUCACCAAGGCGACGAUCAGUAGCCGACCUGAGAGAGUGAACGGCCACAUUGGAACGGAGACACGGUCCAAACUCCUACGGGAGGCAGCAGUGGGGAAUAUUGCACAAUGGGGGAAACCCUGAUGCAGCAACGCCGCGUGAACGAUGAAGGCCUUUGGGUCGUAAAGUUCUGUUCUAGGUGAUGAAAACUGACAGUAACCUAGGAGAAAGCCCCGGCUAACUCCGUG